rnacentral:tRNA from 2 species
GGGGGUGUAGCUCAGCUGGAAGAGCAUUUGACUGGCAGUCAAAAGGUCGUGGGUUCGAGCCCCAUCACCUCCA